CCAGUGUCUGAAUGUAGAGGUGACGACUAGCCCAGUGUCUGAAUAUGGUGGUAGAGGUGACGACUAGCCCAGUGUCUGAAUGUAGAGGUGAUGACUAGCCCAGUGUCUGAAUAUGGUGGUAGAGGUGACGACUAGCCCAGUGUCUGAAUGUAGAGGUGAUGACUAGCCCAGUGUCUGAAUAUGGUGGUAGAGGUGAUGACUAGCCCAGUGUCUGAAUGUGGAGGUGAUGACUAGCCCAGUGUCUGAAUAUGGAGGUGAUGACUAGCCCAGUGUCUGAAUAUGGAGGUGAUGACUAGCCCAGUGUCUGAAUAUGGAGGUGAUGACUAGCCCAGUGUCUGAAUAUGGUGGUAGAGGUGAUGACUAGCCCAGUGUCUGAAUAUGGUGGUAGAGGUGAUGACUAGCCCAGUGUCUGAAUAUGGUGGUAGAGGUGAUGACUAGCCCAGUGUCUGAAUAUGGUGGUAGAGGUGAUGACUAGCCCAGUGUCUGAAUAUGGUGGUAGAGGUGAUGACUAGCCCAGUGUCUGAAUAUGGUGGUAGAGGUGAUGACUAGCCCAGUGUCUGAAUAUGGUGGUAGAGGUGAUGACUAGCCCAGUGUCUGAAUGUAGAGGUGAUGACUAGCCCAGUGUCUGAAUAUGGUGGUAGAGGUGAUGACUAGCCCAGUGUCUGAAUGUAGAGGUGAUGACUAGCCCAGUGUCUGAAUAUGGUGGUAGAGGUGAUGACUAGCCCAGUGUCUGAAUAUGGUGGUAGAGGUGAUGACUAGCCCAGUGUCUGAAUAUGGUGGUAGAGGUGAUGACUAGCCCAGUGUCUGAAUAUGGUGGUAGAGGUGAUGACUAGCCCAGUGUCUGAAUAUGGUGGUAGAGGUGAUGACUAGCCCAGUGUCUGAAUAUGGUGGUAGAGGUGAUGACUGGCCCAGUGUCUGAAUAUGGUGGUAGAGGUGACGACUGGCCCAGUGUCUGAAUGUGGUGGUAGAGGUGACGACUGGCCCAGUGUCUGAAUAUGGUGGUAGAGGUGAUGACUGGCCCAGUGUCUGAAUAUGGUGGUAGAGGUGAUGACUGGCCCAGUGUCUGAAUAUGGUGGUAGAGGUGAUGACUAGCCCAGUGUACCAGGGUGACACGUGGUGAAGCAAUGAAAAACAACAUUUAGAUUCUGUUAGGAUGGGGGAAGUCUGAUAACCUCUCCUGGCAU